rnacentral:tRNA from 39 species
CGGAGUGUAGCGCAGCCUGGUAGCGCACCUGAUUUGGGAUCAGGGGGUCGCAGGUUCGAAUCCUGCCACUCCGACCA